GUAUAUGGCCAUACCACCCUAAACACACCUACUCUCAUCUGAUAUUGGAAGCUAAGCAGGGUUGGGCCUGGUUAGUACUUGAAUGGGAGACACUUUUCAUUCCUUAUAUCUCUCUUCACUGUGUACA
rnacentral:rRNA from 1 species